rnacentral:misc_RNA from 1 species
CAGAGAUCAUGCCCUCACGGGUAGACCUCCCACCCUGUGUUAUUUACUAUUGUUGCUUUGGCAGGCCGCCUUCGGGCUCCCGGCUCCGGCUGGGGUGCGCCUGCCAGAGGACCACAAACUCUGUUUAUUAGUGUCGUCUGAGUACUAUAUAAUAGUUA